AGGGCUUGACAUGGGGACCCUUCGGGGGUGGGUGCGAAAGUACCCUUUACCAUCACAGGUGCUGCAUGGCUGUCGUCAGUUCGUGCCGUGAGGUGUUUGGUUAAGUCCAGCAACGAACGCAACCCCUGUGGUUAGUUGCCACCGCCGGUGAUGAGCCGGCGAGCACUCUAGCCAGACUGCCCGUACAAGCGGGAGGAAGGUGGGGAUGACGUCAAGUCAGUAUGGCCCUUACGCCCUGGGCUGCACACGUGCUACAAUGGCCGGUACAGAGGGAUGCAAUACCGCGAGGUGGAGCAAAUCCAGAAAGCCGGCCCCAGUUCGGAUUGGAGUCUGCAACUCGACUCCAUGAAGUUGGAUUCGCUAGUAACGGCGUAUCAGCUACGACGCCGUGAAUACGUUCCCGGGCCU
rnacentral:rRNA from 1 species